rnacentral:rRNA from 1 species
AGUGAACGCUGGCGGUAGGCCUAACACAUGCAAGUCGAACGGCAGCCCAGUAAGAGCUUGCUCUUACGGGUGGCGAGUGGCGGACGGGUGAGGAGUACAUCGGAAUCUACUUUUUCGUGGGGGAUAACGUAGGGAAACUUACGCUAAUACCGCAUACGACCUACGGGUGAAAGCAGGGGAUCUUCGGACCUUGCGCGAUUGAAUGAGCCGAUGUCGGAUUAGCUAGUUGGCGGGGUAAAGGCCCACCAAGGCGACGAUCCGUAGCUGGUCUGAGAGGAUGAUCAGCCACACUGGAACUGAGACACGGUCCAGACUCCUACGGGAGGCAGCAGUGGGGAAUAUUGGACAAUGGGCGCAAGCCUGAUCCAGCCAUACCGCGUGGGUGAAGAAGGCCUUCGGGUUGUAAAGCCCUUUUGUUGGGAAAGAAAAGCAGCAGGUUAAUACCCCGCUGUUCUGACGGUACCCAAAGAAUAAGCACCGGCUAACUUCGUG